rfam:Triticum aestivum genome assembly, contig: Triticum_aestivum_CS42_TGACv1_scaffold_343094_4DL
CUUAUACUCCCUCCGUUCGGAAUUACUCGUCAUAGAAAUGGAUGUAUCUAGACGUAUUUUAGUUCUAGAUACAUCCAUUUUCGAGACAAGUAAUUUCAAACAGAGGGAGUACUUU